GCGCCGCUAGCUCAACUGGCAGAGCAGCUGACUCUUAAUCAGCGGGUUCGGGGUUCGAGUCCCUGGCGGCGCAC
rnacentral:tRNA from 2 species